rnacentral:lncRNA from 1 species
UGAUGUUUUAGGAAAGGGCGACAUUCAAGGACAUAGCUGUUAUCUUCACCAAGGAAGAGCUGGCAGUAUUGGAUAAAUCCCAGAUAAACCUGUACCAAGAUGUGAUGCUGGAAAACUUCAGGAACCUCAUCUCAGUGGGAAGUUGAGUGAGGCCUGAGACAGCAAUGUUUCGUUUAGCCUGGCGGUGGCCCUCCUUGUCUUCAAGAAGAGCAUCCGUGGCUAGCAGUGGAAGAUGGGGUUGGGCCCCAGGUGAGUGACCCUUUGUCGAGUUUGCAGAAUUUAGUCUUGGCGGGUUGAGAAUCUCUUGUAUUUUGUGCGCUCUGUUCCUACUCCAGGACUGACCAGGCAGUUCUGCCACCUUCUAGGGGUGUGAAAUUGGGAAGUAAUUCAAACUGUAUGUGCCUAGCAUUCCUUUUAUGUAACAUGAGGGGAAUAGAAGUACCAAACCGAUGCAGUUCAGUGGAGAAUUAAAUGAGAUAGUCACAAGUAAAAGGUGGUAAGUGUGGUUCAUUUUAUUAAUUUUCUUUUAAUUUCCCGAGAAGCCCCAGUUACCUAAAAGCUUCUGUGAGCCUGGGAAGGGAUCAGAGUUCCACCUGCAGUGCUAUUUUGCCCCUUCUUUCUGAUCCUUACAGGAAGCAGGACGAUUCCUGGAUUCCCUUUUUAAAAAAGUGGGGGUGGGGGUGUGGGGAUGGGGGUGGGGGGUGGGGCGGGAAUCACUCCAGGCUAUUGUAUGGGGAUGUCCUCUGUGAUUCGUGCAGGAGGGAGACAUAGUUCUGGUUUCUCGCAGAUGGUCACAGGAAUGAGGAAAGAAUGACUCUUUGGCUCCUAGCAGCAGAAUCUUAACUGAGUAUGACUUAGCAUCCUUCUUCUUGCUGUGUCAUCUCUCUUCUCAGGGCAGAAGAUAUUUACGAAUUAGCACAUUCUGCUAGCACAUCUGUGGGAAAAGAGACACGGUCUUACUGCGUUGACCAGGAUGGUCUCAAACUCCUGGCUACAGGCUAUCCUCCUGCCUCUGUCUCCCAAAGUGCUGGGAUUACAAGCAUGAGCCACCAGGCCUGGCCCAAUUGCUUCUUAACAACUUACUAUUCUUUGUUCACUACAGUGUAUACAUAACUGACUUUUUCUUUGGAGCUUCAUUUUGUAAUGAAGGCUCUGGUCACAUGUAAGACUUGUAUUAAAUAAAUUUGCCUGCUGUUCUGUUAAUCUGUGUUAUGCUAAUUUAAUUCUUGAGCCCAGCUGGGUCCUGGAGAGGAUAGAGUGAAGUUUUGUGGCAGCUACAUAAGUCAAUGAAAUUGGAAACAGAAAAACAAUCUUUAAAAAUCAACAAAAUCAUAACCUUAUUCUUUGAGAAGAUCAAUAUAGUUUAUAAACCUUUCAACUGACUCACCCACAGGGAAAAAGAAGAAAACAAAAAUCAGGAGGGAGGGAACGUUAUUACAAAUUUUGCAGAUACUAAAAGGAUUAUAAGGGAACAUUACAAACAACUCUUUGUCCAUAAAUUCAUCAAUUUACAUGACAUGGAAUAUUGCUUGAAAGGCACAAACUACCAAAGCUCACUCAGAAAGAAUGGAU